UGGGGAAUUUUGGACAAUGGGGGAAACCCUGAUCCAGCCAUCCCGCGUGUGCGAUGAAGGCCUUCGGGUUGUAAAGCACUUUUGGCAGGAAAGAAACGUCAUGGGUUAAUACCCCGUGAAACUGACGGUACCUGCAGAAUAAGCACCGGCUAACUACGUGCCAGCAGCCGCGGUAAUACGUAGGGUGCAAGCGUUAAUCGGAAUUACUGGGCGUAAAGCGUGCGCAGGCGGUUCGGAAAGAAAGAUGUGAAAUCCCAGAGCUCAACUUUGGAACUACAUUUUUAACUACCGGGCUAGAGUGUGUCAGAGGGAGGUGGAAUUCCGCGUGUAGCAGUGAAAUGCGUAGAUAUGCGGAAGAACACCGAUGGCGAAGGCAGCCUCCUGGGAUAACACUGACGCUCAUGCACGAAAGCGUGGGGAGCAAACAGG
rnacentral:rRNA from 1 species